GUUAAGCGACUAAGCGUACACGGUGGAUGCCCUGGCAGUCAGAGGCGAUGAAGGGCGUGCUAAUCUGCGAUAAGCGCCGGUAAGGUGAUAUGAACCGUUAUAACCGGCGAUACCCGAAUGGGGAAACCCAGUGUGAUUCGUCACACUAUCAUUAACUGAAUCCAUAGGUUAAUGAGGCGAACCGGGGGAACUGAAACAUCUAAGUACCCCGAGGAAAAGAAAUCAACCGAGAUUCCCCCAGUAGCGGCGAGCGAACGGGGAGGAGCCCAGAGCCUGAAUCAGCAUGUGUGUUAGUGGAAGCGUCUGGAAAGGCGCGCGAUACAGGGUGACAGCCCCGUACACAAAAGCGCAUGUGCUGUGAGCUCGAUGAGUAGGGCGGGACACGUGGUAUCCUGUCUGAAUAUGGGGGGACCAUCCUCCAAGGCUAAAUACUCCUGACUGACCGAUAGUGAACCAGUACCGUGAGGGAAAGGCGAAAAGAACCCCGGCGAGGGGAGUGAAAAAGAACCUGAAACCGUGUACGUACAAGCAGUGGGAGCACAGGUUUACCUGUGUGACUGCGUACCUUUUGUAUAAUGGGUCAGCGACUU
rnacentral:rRNA from 1 species